rnacentral:rRNA from 1 species
CAGCACCUCAAGUGGUCAGGAUGAUUAUUGGGCCUAAAGCAUCCGUAGCCGGCGCUGUAAGUUUUCGGUUAAAUCUGUACGCUCAACGUACAGGCUGCCGGGAAUACUGCAGCGCUAGGGAGUGGGAGAGGUAGACGGUACUCGGUAGGAAGGGGUAAGAUCCUUUGAUCUAUUGAUGACCACCUGUGGCGAAGGCAGUCUACCAGAACACGUCCGACGGUGAGGGAUGAAAGCUGGGGGAGCAAACCGGAUUAGAUACCCGAGUAGUCC